CUACACAAGUUUUGUCGGUGGCAUAUCAUGAAGAAGUACAAAGACCACCUCACCUUGUAGUAUAAGGCGCACGAGAAACUCAAGGAUGACCUCAAUGCUGUGCUGAACCACCCACUAAUGCCAUCAGAAUUUGAACGUGCAUGGAAGGACCUCAUUCAGAAAUACAACUUGAAAAACGACGAAGUGAUGAAUUCGCUGUGGGAUGACAGGCACGAGUGGAUCUCGGCUUACUACAAGGAAAUUUUCUGUGCUCGGAUGACUUCCACAUAGAGAAGCGAGAGCAUGAACCGCAUACUGAAGAAAAGCUUUGUCAAAGAGAAGCAUGAUCUCCAUCUCUUUGCUCAGCAGGUGGACAAGUGCAUUCAGACCAGGAAGGUCGUCGAGCACGCAGAGAUAGUAGCAAAUGAGUCAGAGGUAAAGACAACAACCCAGUUUGGGUUCGAAGUUCAGCUAUCAAAAGUUUAUACAAGGGCAGUGUUUGCAGAUUUCAAAGAAACACUCUACCGUAGCACUGCAUUCAAAGCAGAACGGUGCCCUGAGAACCCGACAAAGUAUCUCGUACACCACUACAAUAGAUCAAAUGCAUUUGACUGGGCAAGGCAUAAUUUCCAAGUGGUCACCGAUGAAUAGAAAGGUGUCUACGAAUGUGAGUGCAAACUCUGGACACACACAGGGCUCUUUUGCGUCCAUGUGUUAUGCAUGCUUUCUCAUUUGAUAGUACUCAAGAUUCCUGAGGUGUACAUCAUGAAGAGAUACAACCAGAACGCAAGAUCAAAUGCAAUGUUUGAUAGAAGAGACUACGAACAAAUAGCAUCAGAUGGAAGCUCGCUUUUUUGCCAUAGAAAAUUACUGACCGAAACAACAAUGGACCUUGCAAACAGA
rnacentral:rRNA from 1 species